GUUCUUACCUGGCAAGGUAGACACCAUGAUUAGGCAGGUGGCUCUCCCAGGGCGAGGAUCAUCCCUUGCACUCCGGGUGUGCUGACCCCUGUUAUUUCUCUAAAUGUGGGAAACUUGACUGUGUAAUUUGUGGUAGUGAGGGACUGCAUUCGCACUCUUUAC
ensembl:snRNA U1 U1 spliceosomal RNA